rnacentral:rRNA from 1 species
AGAGUUUGAUCCUGGCUCAGAACGAACGCUGGCGGCAGGCCUAACACAUGCAAGUCGAGCGCCCCGCAAGGGGAGCGGCGGACGGGUGAGUAACGCGUGGGAAUUUUCCUCAAGGUACGGAACAACUCAGGGAAACUUGGGCUAAUACCGUAUGAUGUCUAGCGACCAAAGAUUUAUCGCCUUGGGAUAAGCCCGCGUCAGAUUAGGUAGUUGGUGGGGUAACGGCCUACCAAGCCUGCGAUCUGUAGCUGGUCUGAGAGGACGAUCAGCCACAUUGGGACUGAGACACGGCCCAAACUCCUACGGGAGGCAGCAGUGGGGAAUCUUGCGCAAUGGGCGAAAGCCUGACGCAGCCAUGCCGCGUGAAUGAUGAAGGUCUUAGGAUUGUAAAGUUCUUUCGCCCGUGACGAUGAUGACGGUAACGGGAGAAGAAGCCCCGGCUAACUUCGUGCCAGCAGCCGCGGUAAUACGAAGGGGGCUAGCGUUGUUCGGAAUUACUGGGCGUAAAGCGCGCGUAGGCGGUUUUGCAAGCCAGAGGUGAAAUGCCUGAGCUCAACUUAGGAUUGCCUUUGGGACUGUGAGGCUUUGAGGACUGGAGAGGUGAGUGGAAUUCCCAGUGUAGAGGUGAAAUUCGUAGAUAUUGGGAAGAACACCGGUGGCGAAGGCGGCUCACUGGCCAGUUUCUGACGCUAAAGCGCGAAAGCGUGGGGAUCAAACAGGAUUAGAUACCCUGGUAGU